rnacentral:rRNA from 1 species
GACAGAGGGUGCAAACGUUGUUCGGAAUUACUGGGCGUAAAGCGUGUGUAGGCGGUCUCAUAAGUCGGGUGUGAAAGCCCAGGGCUCAACCCUGGAAGUGCACUCGAAACUGCGAGGCUUGAGUACCGGAGAGGUUGGUGGAAUUCUCGGUGUAGAGGUGAAAUUCGUAGAUAUCGAGAGGAACACCGGUGGCGAAGGCGGCCAACUGGACGAGUACUGACGCUGAGACACGAAAGCGUGGGGAGCGAACAGG